AUGGCGUCGUCGUCGGCGGCGGCGGCGGCGGCUGCGACCCCUUCCAGCGGAGCUGCGAUGGAAGCCGACGGGCUCGAGUUCUUGCUGGAUCCAGUAGACCGGUUCCCGCCUAGGGAAGAAUUCGCGGAAAGGUUUGAGCACCCAUAUCAUGUGCCACUGGCGUUACUGUCGCCACGCGAGGAGGCGCCUGCUUUGCCGGCGGAUUCCAAUUUGCGGCUCCGGCUGUGCGCAGCGGGUAGGGAGCUGCAGCCCUGGGCGGUCUGCAGGCGAGUGCUGCCGGAGGAAGAAUGCCUCGCCGACCCAAUCUGCGAAAUCCACUGGGAAGGUGAAUCCCGAAGCCCCCUGAUGGACGAAGAGAGGUUGUGCUUCUGUAGUGCACUACCAGACCAGAUGCCGCGUGCCUCGCGGAUGAGUGCGCUUGAACAAUCUAUCCACAAAUUUGCAGAAGAACCUACAAAAAGUGCGGUGAAACCAGAUCUUGGGUUGAGUUUUUACUUGUUGGGUGACGCGUAUGACUUACAAUUUGUAUUCUUGGGAGGUUGGCUUCGGCAUACGGUAUGGGGAGAGCAGGCUGAACGACGAGCGGACAAAGUCGAUGCACGAGAUAAUUUGUGGCUCAGUGGCUGUUCGGGGAAGCCUGAGGCGGAGAACGGCCGGUCGUGUAGGUGUAAAUGCCCUGUGUUGAUUAGGCUGUUGAGGGCAUCCGACAACAAGUUGUACAUAACUGAGUACAGCGAGAAUCACAACCGCUCUUUGUCAUUGACAAUGGUCGAGAAGGUUCACUGGCCGUCACACAACACACAUAGAUGUUUACGCAAAGGAUCCUAUAAAACAGUUGCAGGAAAAUAUUGUGAACCUUGGGAAAGUGUAUAG
rnacentral:rRNA from 1 species